rnacentral:rRNA from 1 species
UUCAUUUAAGGUUUAUUCUGCUCAAUGAUAUCUAAUUAUUAAAUAGCCGCAGUAAACUGACUGUGCAAAGGUAGCAUAAUAAAUUGGCCUUUAAUUGGGGUCUAGAAUGAAAGGUGUUUAUACGCGAAUUCUGUCUUAAUUAUAUUUUUUAUAACUUACUGAGUAGGUGAAAAUUCCUACAGAUUUUAAUGAAAGACGAGAAGACCCUUAGAAUUUUUAAUAAUUUUAUCUAUAUUAUAAAAUCUUUUUUGUUGGGGCGACAUAUUAUCAAUAGUAACAUAAUUUUUUACUUAUUUACCUGACAUUAUUUAAAUUGUAUGAUAAAAUUACCUGAGGGAUAACAGCAUAAUAAUGAAUAUUCAGUGUUUAUGACCUCGAUGUUGGACUAGGAAAGAAUAUGGCUAGCAGUCAUAUUUAAUUGGUUCUGUUCGAACUAGAACUCCU